rnacentral:rRNA from 1 species
UAAAGGCAUAAGCAAGCUUGACUGUGAGACUGACAAGUCGAGCAGGUACGAAAGUAGGACUUAGUGAUCCGGUGGUUCCGUAUGGAAGGGCCAUCGCUCAACGGACAAAAGCUACCCCGGGGAUAACAGGCUCAUCUCCCCCAAGAGUCCACAUCGACGGGGAGGUUUGGCACCUCGAUGUCGGCUCAUCGCAUCCUGGGGCUGUAGUCGGUCCCAAGGGUUGGGCUGUUCGCCCAUUAAAGCGGUACGCGAGCUGGGUUCAGAACGUCGUGAGACAGUUCGGUCCCUAUCCGUCGUGGGCGCAGGAAAUUUGAGAGGAUCUGUCCUUAGUACGAGAGGACCGGGAUGGACAUACCUCUGGUGUACCAGUUGUUCUGCCAAGAGCACCGCUGGGUAGCUACGUAUGGAUUAGAUAAUCGCUGAAAGCAUCUAAGUGAGAAACUAACCUCGAGAUGAGAUUUCCCAUUCGUCAGAAGUAAGACCCCUGAGAGACGAUCAGGUAGAUAGGCUAGAAGUGGAAGUGUAGUGAUGCAUGGAGCGGACUAGUACUAAUAGGUCGAGGACUUAACCAAG